GAGGGCUCCGCGGUGGGCAGAGCGGCCUGUGGUGAGAUCUGGGAGACGUACCGGCGUGUUUACUCCGCACAGGACAACACUGUCUGGUGGCCGGCCCGCGACCCUCGCCCGCCGGUCACUACCAUUUUCUCCUGUGGAAACCGUAGUUGUGGACAUUAUUUUACAGCUGCACAGCAUUUCGUAGUGUGGAUGCACCAUGAUGAACCCAAUCUCCUGGUUGUGGAUGUUCAGAGAAGAAUCAAGGCCAAGAGUAUGAGCUGGGGAGGCAGACAGACCCAGCUUUGAUUCUGAUGUGGCUGCUGGCUGACCUUGACAAGUUACCUCCUCCUCGCCAUUACACAGUGUUCAUCUGUGCAGAGUGAACGAUGAACUGAACAGGGACUGUUUCUGGGUUUGCAGGAAGAGCCCUGGUGAUCCUGUGUGCAGUGUCCUCAGGCUCAAGGACUGAAGUGUCCUAACAAAGGCACACAGAUAGGAUCGAUGGACUCCAUUAAGUUAGCAGUGAGCGCAGAAGAUUGGAUUGGGUGUGCCGAGAUCACAGUGCAUGAAGAGACAGCAGCACUUUCAUGG